AAGCCGAUGCUCUAUCCAUUGAGCCAAACCGGUUUUGGCCCAAGGACCUUUCAGUCUGCAAACUGACACUAUCCACUGAGCCAAACCAGCUAGGGCUGUUUUCCAAUCUUUGAUGGCACCACUGCCCAGUUAUAAUCAUUUUUAACUAAUGUCUCACUUUGCAUAUUUUAAAAUUGCAUUUCCUGAAUAUCUUGUCUAGCAUUUCAAGGCAAAAUAGAGUAUAAAGGAGUGUAGGACAGAAGAGGGAAGAGUUGGUACUAAUAGCCUCUUGUUUCUGCCUUAUGUCUUCACUGAUUAUUUCUGAUAUCUCGUGCCUGACCCUUUCCACCUGCUGCUUCCUUAACUUUAGAUACAGACUUAAACACCAGCAAGUAAAACUAACAGCUUUUCCUGUGCCUUUCUCUGUUAUCUUAAAUUUCCCAGGCCCACUACAAAUAUGGCUCUGGCUCCACCACUCCAAUGAAACUACUCAAAAUUUGACCAAACACUUGCUAAUUAAAUUAGAGGCUUUUCAAUUGGACUUUAUCCCAAAAUAUUUGCCUUUUUUUUUUUUUUCAGAGUUCCAAGGGCUUCUAACAUAUCUUUUCCCCAGUUCUUAAACAUGACUUCCCUCUCACUCUGGAUUCUUUUAUGUUUCAUGUCUGUCUAUGAUUUGUUAUGAGUAGAAUUCUAAGCCAGUGGUUCACGAAGUAUGGGUCCCCACCUGGCUGCAUAAACAUGCAGACCUGUACCAGAACAACGUUAGUCAUUCUGGGGUUGGUCCAGCACUUACGUUCUGGGUGAUUAAGAUGCAUAUUCUAGUUUGAGAACUACUGACUUCUGUCAUGGUCAUCCCUAAUAUACUUGACACUUAGAUUUCAGAGCUUACUUUCUGAAGCUCGGUUGAUAUUUACAACUCUGGGCAGCUCCAUCUGAAUGUCCUGCAAGUAGAGAUUAGUUUGGAAAGUUUUAUUAGAUGAAUUACCUAAGUUAAAAUCUCUGAGUUUUCAGUAAAAAUUUAAUGAAUAAAUGA